rnacentral:rRNA from 1 species
GAUGAACGCUGGCGGCGUGCCUAAUACAUGCAAGUCGAGCGAACGGACGAGAAGCUUGCUUCUCUGAUGUUAGCGGCGGACGGGUGAGUAACACGUGGAUAACCUACCUAUAAGACUGGGAUAACUUCGGGAAACCGUAGCUAAUACCGGAUAAUAUUUUGAACCGCAUGGUUCAAAAGUGAAAGACGGUCUUGCUGUCACUUAUAGAUGGAUCCGCGCUGCAUUAGCUAGUUGGUAAGGUAACGGCUUACCAAGGCAACGAUGCAUAGCCGACCUGAGAGGGUGGACGGCCAGCCGGGAACUGAGACACGGUCCAGACUCCUACGGGAGGCAGCAGUAGGGAAUCUUACGCAAUGGACGAAAGCCUGACGGAGCAACGCCGCGUGAGUGAUGAAGGUCUUCGGAUCGUAAAACUCUGUUAUUAGGGAAGAACAUAUGUGUAAGUAACUGUGAACAUCUUGACGGUACCUAAUCAGAAAGCCACGGCUAACUACGUG